AGAGUUUGAUCAUGGCUCAGGACGAACGCUGACGGCGUGCUUUAACAUGCAAGUCGAACGAGAACACCCUUCGGGGCCAGUAAAGUGGCGAACGGGUGAGUAACACGUGGGCAACCUGCCCCUCGCAGGGGGGACAACCGGAGGAAACUCCGGCUAAUACCCCGUAAGCUCUCGGGAUCGAGUGACCCCGGGAGGAAAGGUAGCUUCGGCCAUCCGGCGAGGGAUGGGCCCGCGGUACAUUAGCUAGUUGGUGGGGUAACGGCCCACCAAGGCGACGAUGUAUAGCUGGUCUGAGAGGAUGAUCAGCACACUGGACUGAACACGGCCAACUCCUACGAGCAGUCGAAUCUU
rnacentral:rRNA from 1 species